ensembl:lncRNA
CUGCUGGGGGGCGGGCUUGUGAGGUGAUCUGGGCAUGCCAGUACCAGCUGAGCUAUUCAGGCCUGGAAGCAGUAUGAUUAAUGUAGGAGACAUGAACACAGCAACACAGCAAGAGGAGAGCUGCAAAACUGUGAAGAGGAACGAAAAUAGCAUCAGGAAGGGGCUGUGAAGCUGAGGGCCACCAGGUGCAGAGCAGUGCCCAUGGCGUGAGAGUGGUCCAGAACAAGGACGAAAACCACAACCUCUGGAGCAGCCAGAGCAGGCACUGAACACCACGAAACUGAUGUCACUUCUACACAGGACCAGACCCAGGCUGGCGUGAGACCUGGUUGCUUCUGCGAAGUGAACAAACCAACAAGCAGAAGAGUUCAAACCCCUGAUGAAAGGGAUUAUGAUUUUUGUGCAUGAUGAUAAGACCAGAAGCCAGACUGACAUCUGCAAAGCCCUACCAACAAAGCUUGUUGCCUUGCCUUCAGAGGUGCACAGCAACCCUCUGGUGAGUGAACUGAACCCCUGUCCAGAGGCAGAAGCACAGGGAAAUUCAAGCAACCAGCUCCUCUUCC